rnacentral:rRNA from 1 species
GAUGAACGCUGGCGGUGUGCCUAAUACAUGCAAGUCGAGCGAACAGACGAGGAGCUUACUCCUCUGACGUUAGCGGCGGACGGGUGAGUAACACGUGGAUAACCUACCUAUAAGACUGGGAUAACUUCGGGAAACCGGAGCUAAUACCGGAUAACAUGUUGAACCGCAUGGUUCAACAGUGAAAGACGGUCUUGCUGUCACUUAUAGAUGGAUCCGCGUCGCAUUAGCUAGUUGGUAAGGUAACGGCUUACCAAGGCAACGAUGCGUAGCCGACCUGAGAGGGUGAUCGGCCACACUGGAACUGAGACACGGUCCAGACUCCUACGGGAGGCAGCAGUAGGGAAUCUUCCGCAAUGGGCGAAAGCCUGACGGAGCAACGCCGCGUGAGUGAAGAAGGUCUUCGGAUCGUAAAACUCUGUUAUUAGGGAAGAACAAAUGUGUAAGUAACUAUGCACGUCUUGACGGUACCUAAUCAGAAAGCCACGGCUAACUACAUG